AGAAUCAACGCUGGCGGCGUGCCUAACACAUGCAAGUCGAACGAGAAAGUGGAGCAAUCCAUGAGUAAAGUGGCGACCGGGUGAGUAACACGUGACUAACCUACCUUCGAGUGGGGGAUAACCCCGGGAAACCGGGGCUAACACCGCAUAACAUCGCAAGAUCAAAGCAGCAAUGCGCUGGAAGAGGGGGUCGCGGCUGAUUAGCUAGUUGGCGGGUAACGGCCCACAAGGCGAAGAUCGGUA
rnacentral:rRNA from 1 species